GUGCCAGCAGCCGCGGUAAUACGGAGGGUGCGAGCGUUAAUCGGAAUAACUGGGCGUAAAGGGCACGCAGGCGGUGACUUAAGUGAGGUGUGAAAGCCCCGGGCUUAACCUGGGAAUUGCAUUUCAUACUGGGUCGCUAGAGUACUUUAGGGAGGGGUAGAAUUCCACGUGUAGCGGUGAAAUGCGUAGAGAUGUGGAGGAAUACCGAAGGCGAAGGCAGCCCCUUGGGAAUGUACUGACGCUCAUGUGCGAAAGCGUGGGGAGCAAACAGGAUUAGAUACCCUGGUAGUCCACGCUGUAAACGAUGUCGAUUUGGGGGUUGAACUUUAAGUUUGGCGCCCGUAGCUAACGUGAUAAAUCGACCGCCUGGGGAGUACGGCCGCAAGGUUAAAACUUAAAGGAAUUGACGG
rnacentral:rRNA from 1 species